AACGAACGCUGGCGGCAUGCUUAACACAUGCAAGUCGAACGCAUGUAGCAAUACAUGAGUGGCAGACGGGUGAGUAACGCGUGGGAACGUACCCUAAAGUUCGGAAUAACGAUUAGAAAUGAUCGCUAAUACCGGAUACGCCCGAAAGAGGAAAGGUUUACCGCUUUGGGAGCGGCCCGCGUUAGAUUAGGUAGUUGGUGGGGUAAAGGCCUACCAAGCCUACGAUCUAUAGCUGGUCUGAGAGGAUGAUCAGCCACACUGGGAUUGAGACACGGCCCAGACUCCUACGGGAGGCAGCAGUGGGGAAUAUUGGACAAUGGGGGAAACCCUGAUCCAGCAAUGCCGCGUGAGUGAUGAAGGCCUUCGGGUUGUAAAGCUCUUUUACCCGCGACGAUAAUGACGGUAGCGGGAGAAUAAGCCCCGGCUAACUUCGUGCCAGCAGCCGCAGUAA
rnacentral:rRNA from 1 species